rnacentral:rRNA from 1 species
GAGGAAUAUUGGUCAAUGGACGUAAGUCUGUACCAGCCAAGUAGCGUGCAGGAUGACGGCCCUAUGGGUUGUAAACUGCUUUUAUGUGGGAAUAAAGUGGCGCACGUGUGCGCCAUUGCAUGUACCUCAUGAAUAAGGACCGGCUAAUUCCGUGCCAGCAGCCGCGGUAAUACGGAAGGUCCGGGCGUUAUCCGGAUUUAUUGGGUUUAAAGGGAGUGUAGGCGGUCUGUUAAGCGUGUUGUGAAAUUUAGGUGCUCAACAUUUAACUUGCAGCGCGAACUGUCAGACUUGAGUACACGCAGCGCAGGCGGAAUUCAUGGUGUAGCGGUGAAAUGCUUAGAUAUCAUGAGGAACUCCGAUCGCGAAGGCAGCCUGCGGGAGUGUUACUGACGCUUAAGCUCGAAGGUGCGGGUAUCGAACAGGAUUAGAUACCCUGGUAGUCCGCACUGUAAACGAUGGAUGCCCGCCGUUGGCGCCCUGCGCCUGCGGCCAAGCGAAAGCAUUAAGCAUCCCACCUGGGGAGUACGCCGGCAACGGUG